rnacentral:lncRNA from 1 species
AUGAGGAGAGAGAUUCUGGGAGCAAAAAAAGUUCAUUUGCUGAAUUUCCAGCAAGAAGUCACUUCAAUAUUGCUUCUAGGAAACACUGACAGGCUUUGUUGUCAGAAAAGUUCAAGAGACUCCGCAGGAUCCCAGGAGAGUGAGAAUGCUGGAAUGAUGUGCAACCUUCUGUGCUGCAGAGGGCGAAAACUGCAGGAGCUUCUCAGAGAGGAAGUAAGUUCAGGACUAGGAGGCAGGGCACAAAGGUGGUUCUUGAUAUUGUCUUCCCUUUCCCUUUCCUUUUGUCUUUCUUUUCCUCCCUUACUCUUCUCUUCUCUAUUUUAUCUUCUCUCCUCUUCUCUCCUCCUCCCUCCCCACUUCCUUUCCUUUUUUUCCUUCCUUCCUUCCUUCCUUCCUUCCUUCCUUCCUUCCUUCCUUCCUUCCUUCCUUCCUUCCUUCCUUCCUUCCCUCCCUCCCUCCCUCCCUUUCUCUCUCCCUCUCUCUCUCCCUCUCUCUUUCCUUUUUGAGAGAUACAUCAGUUGAGCUGGUGAAAUAGAACUAGAACACAUCAGACAGGAGGCAGUGGCUCACUCCUGUUACCCCAGCACUUUGGGAGGCCAAGGUGGGCAGAUCACAAAGUAAUGAGAUCGAGACCAUCCUGGCUAAUGUGGUGAAAACCCACCUCUACAAAAAACACAAAAAUUAAGUGGCUGUGGUGGCACACACCUAUAGUCCCAGCUACUCAGGAGGUUGAGGCAGGAGAAUCACUUUAACCCAGGAGGCGGAGGUUGCAGUGAGUUGAAAUUGCGCCACUGCACUCCAGCCUAGGCGACAGAGCGAGACUCUGUCAAAACAAAACAAAACAAACAAACAAAAUAAAACACCAAUAGGCUGGAAAUAAUUAAAAUCUGAAUAUCCCAUAAGGACCAGUACUAAUGUCACCUCCUUUCCUGACCAUGUCACUCUCUGUCUCUGAGGUAUGUGUAGAAUCCUCUACAUGCUUUUACUGAGGUACAGGUGAAUUUGUCAAAAAGUAACUAACUGAAUGCUAAUGUGAAAAGUAAAUAAUCUGCUUAAAAUAAAAAUAUACAACUACCAAGUAUAAUGGGUAGCAAGAAUGUAAAGCAGUGCUAAUAGUUGUUAACAAAUUGUCCUGCUUUUCGUGACCCAGUUCCUGGAACACAGCGGCCACUAAACAACUGCUCACUGGCUGAAAUUUUAAAUUAAAAUCUGUAGGCAAAAAUAUCAGCAUUAUGGUCUCCUUUGAAAGUCAUCUUUCUAAAUCAGAAGGCUGAACAGCAGCGUUCCAUAAGAUGGUAACAUACAUUGAAAAGUACCAAGUGGCAUGUUUUUUUUGAUCCUGAUUUAUU